UAAAAGGAGGAAAGGCAAAAGACAUGGCCUAAGGAGAAUACAAAGGAGUGAGGGGAGCUGCUGGUGGCAUCCUGAAAUAUACAUACAUCAUGGUGUAAGGGCCUCUGCCGUCAGCUACAGAUGAGAAGACUGAGACAGAGAGACUAAGAAACUGAGAAAUUCUGCAAGAUUGGAAGAUGCAAUAUUCAGAUCAGGCUCAUGCCUAGUCAUUUUCUCCACAAUAUUCAGGGCAUUGCUAACAAAGACAGAUGGAUCUGGAUCCAAAUCCCAGCUCUACUAGUUUCUAGAAUGUGUGACCAUGGAGUUCAAAUCCCAAAGGAGAACUUUCUGCAAAGCCAGAAGAGUAUUUUUUCAGGAGGGGUGAGAAAUAACAACUGGAAAUGAAAGAACACCAGGCUGGAAGGCGGUAGGGGCAUCAGCAGAGGACUAUGCCGGCCAUGAAAAAUGGGAAGUGUCUUGCUGGAAGGUUUCUCCAGACAAAGGAAGAACAGUGAUGAAGAAAAUGACCCAAUGAUGGGGAUGAAGGGGAUGAAGAGAGUUGUGUGAGUCCCAGGGAUCGCUGGUGUCUAAGCGACAGCUCCUUGGUGGACUGUGGUUUAGGAAAUCGGGGGAGGGCGGGAAAUGAACGUUAAUAAGAGGGACUGAGAAGGGGGGAGUCCCGGAGCCGAGGGACCGUGAGGGUGAGUGCCUGGCGCCAUGGAACGCCACCAGGGAGGGCAGCGGGCUACCCUGGGGACCUGGGUCCCGUGUGGGUUUAAGGAGACGUGUCUAGCCAGGUUUUCAGGGGACAGGCACCAGGAGGCUGCGGUCUGGAGCCAGCACCGGGCUUUGG